UACGUAGGGUGCAAGCGUUAUCCGGAUUCACUGGGUUUAAAGGGUGCGUAGGUGGGCUAGUAAGUCCGUGGUGAAAUCUCCAAGCUUAACUUGGAAACUGCCGUGGAUACUAUUAGUCUUGAAUGUUGUGGAGGUAAGCGGAAUAUGUCAUGUAGCGGUGAAAUGCUUAGAUAUGACAUAGAACACCGAUAGCGGAGGCAGCUUGCUACACAAUGAUUGACACUGAGGCACGAAAGCGUGGGGAUCAAACAGG
rnacentral:rRNA from 1 species